rnacentral:rRNA from 1 species
GACGAACGCUGGCGGCGUGCUUAACACAUGCAAGUCGAACGGAAAGGCCCUGCUUUUGUGGGGUGCUCGAGUGGCGAACGGGUGAGUAACACGUGAGUAACCUGCCCUUGACUUUGGGAUAACUUCAGGAAACUGGGGCUAAUACCGGAUAGGAGCUCCUGCUGCAUGGUGGGGGUUGGAAAGUUUCGGCGGUUGGGGAUGGACUCGCGGCUUAUCAGCUUGUUGGUGGGGUAGUGGCUUACCAAGGCUUUGACGGGUAGCCGGCCUGAGAGGGUGACCGGCCACAUUGGGACUGAGAUACGGCCCAGACUCCUACGGGAGGCAGCAGUGGGGAAUAUUGCACAAUGGGCGGAAGCCUGAUGCCGCAACGCCGCGUGCGGGAUGACGGCCUUCGGGUUGUAAACCGCUUUCGCCUGUGACGAAGCGUGAGUGACGGUAAUGGGUAAAGAAGCACCGGCUAACUACGUG